rnacentral:rRNA from 1 species
CAGUAGCCGCGGUAAAACGAAGGGUGCAAGCGUUAAUCGGAAUUACUGGGCGUAAAGCGUGCGUAGGCGGUUUGUUAAGUCUGUUGUGAAAUCCCCGGGCUCAACCUGGGAAUGGCAAUGGAUACUGGCAAGCUAGAGUGUGUCAGAGGAUGGUGGAAUUCCCGGUGUAGCGGUGAAAUGCGUAGAGAUCGGGAGGAACAUCAGUGGCGAAGGCGGCCAUCUGGGACAACACUGACGCUGAGGCACGAAAGCGUGGGGAGCAAACAGGAUUAGAUACCCGAGUAGUCCCUGUCUCUUAUAC